GAUGAAGAACGCAGCGAAAUGCGAUAAGUAAUGUGAAUUGCAGAAUUCAGUGAAUCAUCGAAUCUUUGAACGCACCUUGCGCUCCCUGGUAUCCCGGGGAGCACGCCUGUUCGAGUGUCGCGAUAUUCUUCAAGCCUUGGAUGGAUUUUUUUUUUGUCUGUCCUUGGGCUUGGUUGUUGGGCUCUGCCGUGUCCUUCAUUGGGACGGCUGGCCUUAAAAGCAUUAGCCGAUCCUCGUGUGGUACUGGUUCUACUCAGCGUGAUAACAAUCUGAUCGUUGAGGACAUCUUCUGGAUGGCCAGUCAUCAUUUGGGUUGCUUCUAAACCGGUUUCGCAGAUUGCUCAAUCUGUGUGCCACUUUUCAGCUUUGACCUCGAAUCAGGUGGGACUACCCGCUGAACUUAAGCAUAUCAAUAAGCGGAGGA
rnacentral:misc_RNA from 1 species